rnacentral:lncRNA from 1 species
UCUCUCCAGCCUAACGCUAUCCCUUCCCUCUCUCCAGCCUAACGCUAUCCCUUCCCUCUCUCCAGCCUAACGCUAUCCAAAGUGUUACUGCUGUUAUUUUCAUGGAAAUUAUAAAGGAAUCCAUCAAAACUGUGAUGUAUAGAGAUUUGGAUACAAAUCCUUCAUGUAUAGACUAGUCCUCUGAAAGUAACUGUUGAAUCAAUCUGUUGUUAUGGACGUGUGUGUGUGCUCCAAAUGGAACCCUAUUCCUUAUAUAGUGCACUGCCUUUGACUAAGUAGUGCACUAUAUAGGCAAUAGGGGUGGCAUUUUGGAGGCAUGCAAUGUUGCGUUUUAUUUCCACCAUGGUGUGUUGUCCUGGAUAAAACGUUUCCAACUGAACUAGUAUCAGGCUGGAAUGGACAUGGCCUUGCUACAUCUCAUGGUUGAUCGAUUUAUGGUGUUUUUACAUUUUUACUGUUCAACUGUCCUUGGUGUAUUGUGUGAAUAAAUUAGAUCUUUUUUAUUUGUCAGGCUGUGUGCGUGUCUGAAAUGCCACUCUGUUUCCUAUAUAUAAAGCCCCAUAGGCUCUGGUCAAAAGUAGUGCACUAUAUAGGGUGUCAUUGGGCUCUGGUCAAAGUAGUGCACUUUAUAGGGAAUUGGGUGCCUUUUCAGACACACACAGUGUAUCUAGUUGAUGCCCUGCACCCAAUGUUGAAAUAAUGUUAGUUGAUAGUUUUCUAUGUUCUCUCAUGGAGGCCAGAGUAAAAUGAAGUAGUAAGCUAUUCUAGGCUACUGCUUGUUGUAUAACUUGCCUACUGAAGUGGUUGAUAGCCCUCAUGAAUCCCUAGUGCAUCUCAUGGGGGAAGUCCAGCACAGUGGGAGGACUUGGAGGAAUCUAGAACUCUAGCAGUGGGAGGACUUGGAGGAAUCUAGAACUCUAGCAGUGGGAGGACUUGGGGGGAAUCUAGAACUCUAGCAGUGGGAGGACUUGGAGGAAUCUAGAACUCUAGCAGUGGGAGGACUUGGGGGGAAUCUAGAAC